rnacentral:lncRNA from 1 species
UGGUUCCCAUGGAGUACCAUGGAUAUGAGGGGUGCUAAUACCUUCCCUUUGCAUAACCGACUUCCGAACCUGUUCGUGGUUGCGAUGACCAUUCUUUGGGGUUUUCUCGAUAUUUUCCCUUUCCUUUGGAAUAAAUAAAAACCGAUGGUGACUCUGUAUUUUUUGCGCUAGCGACAACUGGGGACACCUCCCUAAGCAAGUCAAACCUAAUCUAGGUCGCUUCCUCGCAUGUGUGGAUGUUUAUCCUUUUGAUUGUUUGCCUC